rnacentral:antisense_RNA from 1 species
AAGUGUGAGACCAGUUUCCAUAGCAACCCCAGUCUGUUUCUCAACAAGAGGUUCCAGCCAGCCUCUUGCCACAUAUGAGUCAUAACUCAAGUGUUUUGUUUGUUUCCCUUGGAUAAAAGUGACUCCGAUUUUUAAUGGCUCCUCUCAAAGAUUAACAUCUCUUCACUAAAUACAGAAGAAUUCCAUAUGUAAUGAAUUUCCGGCCUCCAUGAAAACAAAAUGGACUCUUUCAUGCUGUCUCAACAUAUGAAUACAUUGCUCUGUCACCUGGGUGUUAUUACCGACUUAAAUCUGAAAGAAGCUGGACACGGCAGUGGUGUGUGGGUGCCUGCAGUCCUGAGGAGCUGGGACUGUUUCCCGAACAAUGCCUUUCCACCACACACGGUGGUUGUGAGGGCCAGCUGAGGCAAAGCCCUCAGGAAGACCACUUAAGCCCAGGAGUCCAGCCUGCGCAAGACACUUUUUUUAGGCUUCUGCCACCACAAAAUGUUACUUGGAAAACUAGAUCCCAGCAGAUGACCUGUACUUCUCUGCUCUCUCCCCUACUGCAAAGAGGCAGCGAGUGCAGCAUUAGUAAGCCUGACUCAGGGGAAGGCAGUCAGGAGCACGUCUUUGAAUUCCUCGCAGACGAUGUAUCCAUCAGUCCUGUGGGGACACAACGCGAUGUCAACCCUCGAACCUGCUGCCUGCUCUGCCUCUCCUCCCUCCCCAGUUUGCGGAAGACAGUGGGCCACAUCUGAGCACUAGGGGGUCCUGAAGGAUGUCGCGGGUCAGCCAGUGUCCCACACCCUCCGUGCAGAAGGCAGGCCUGUGGAAACUGGCACUGCCUCUUCCUCCCCAGAUUCUGCCGAAGAAAGCUGGGGUGAAAGCCCUUAUCCAGCCUCACCCAUCAUGGAACAGAGCUCACUAACCAGGCAGCUGCCGGGGAAAGAUGCUGACUGUUUUUUUGCUCACUAGCCUGUGAGUCCCUAAACCUGGGAAGAACGUUUUAAUCCAGCAUUACGAUGCCGGUUUCAUUGGCUCCGUUCCCUCUGGAGGGAAGCCAGAAUUGGUAAAGCACUGACUUUGC